CUCCACUCCCUCUCCCCACCUCCCUCCACCGCUUCCCGCGCUGCCGCUGCUUGCCGCCGGUCGCUGUCUCACCAAACAAUCAAGAUUUCUCUGAAGCUAAUAUAAAUUCUACAAGUGUCCCGUUCAAUAGGUGCAUCUUUCUUCGUUAUUGUCCACUCCUUCGUAGGCAUACAUUUAUACUUCAAAUUUCCCUUGUUUCCCACCUCUCUGUAUAGGAGUAUUCAUAUAUGGAUUAAUUGUCACUGCUUCUGUGGUCCAGUUUUAAAGUUGAAGGUUUAUUCUACAUACCUUGUGCAUCUUAAAUAAUUAAUUUCACCUGUGAUCAAACUGCCUCGGUCUGUGCCACUCCAUCGAAGGUGAAACACAUGAAUUCAGUAAGAACAGCAUACUGCAUAUUCAUGGUCUCUUCUAGCACAUAUCCUGAUCAUUUUUUAUUGCUAAACUAUUGAUAUCUUCAUACUAUAAACCUCGAAUGACUGUUUGUCUACUAAUACCAUCUAUCUCAUUCCCUUUAGAGCUAAAAAUGCAUUGCACAAUUGUUAGUCAAGUGACACAUAGCUCCACUACCUAACUUAUUGUUAUAUUUGUACCGGAUCAUGUAUUCCAGCAACAUUUGGCAACUUUAAUGCCAUAUGUUUUUGUGGUAUGCUGAUUCAGAUUCAUGUCCUGGAUCUUUCUGUGCAUACUAAUUUAACCUUUUUUGGGUAAAUUACAUAGGUACUAAUCUUUAAGUGUAAACUAUAUACUUCCUCCGUUUCACAAUGUUAGUCAUUCUAGCAUUUCCCACAUUCAUAUUGAUGUUAUUGAAUCUAGAUAAAUAUACAUGUCUAGAUUCAUUAACAUCAAUAUGAAUGUGGGAAAUGCUAGAAUGACUUACAUUGUGAAACGGAGGGAGUACUAAUCUUUAUGGGUAAACUACUAAUCUUACAACAUACAUGCUGGUAUGUUAAAUCCUUUGGUAUCUCCUAAAAAAUUGCUAUAUCCUUUGCUAUAUACAUAUUCCUGCCAUUUUGCCAAGUAAAUGAGUUGUGCCCUUCAUAUCAUCCAUGAGGUAAGUGUAUGAUAUUAAAUAAAAUGAAUCAACAUGUUAUCUAAUCUAUAUAAUGUUUGUACAUUUGAUUCAACGAAUACAUAUAUGCAGACAAGGCUGGUUUAUUUUAAGGAAGGAAAUGUACCUCUUCUCUUUUUCAUUGAUCUAGGAGUACUAAUCAGCCAGCUUAUAUUUCAUUUUUGCACUUGAUAUUUGGUGCCAUCUCACUUGUCAUCUCAUAGUAUUAUCGAUUCAUUGUUUUUCACCUUGCUUUCAAGACGAUGCUUAUACCAAACAACAUAGACGGUUGCACUAUAUGUGUUUUAGAUUUUAUGAUAACCAUUCCUUAAGUUCACUUUUUUUCCCCUUUCAUGGUACUAGCAGAUAAGCAGCCAUCAGACCCUACCAUCCUGCUUUGUUUUGCAUUUGAGAUUGCAUUUACCACCUUUUAGGGUUGCUAACUUUCUUUCCAUUUUAUUCGCUAUGUUAUAUGAUGUAUUGUUUAGUAGGACAAUAUCAACGAGGGCAAUUCCAGUUCACAGUGCUUUAGAGAGCCACCGCAUUUGUAUGUUAAAAAAUAUGCUGUCAAGUUGAUGGUACGGCAAUGAGCAAACUUCUAAGGAGAAAGAUUGUUACCAUUGCUAAAAUAGGAGUAUUCGAAGAAAUAGCUACCUCCGUGACUGACUGACUAUUGAUGAAUCAUAUGUGUUUAUGCAACCAUCUGCUUCAGGGCCUAUCAAUGGGCAGGUCCUACAACUGUUUAUUUGAUUGACUUGCUGCGGUGCAGUGGCUUUUCUUGGUGUGACGGGUCUUUUCAACAUCGCAACCUUUACCUUGAGUUAAAUUCAUUGUCCUGCUCUGUUAUUGAAAUGAGUUCAAUCCAAAUUCUGUGGAUGUUGCUUGCUGCUUCACCAACCUAACAGUGGAGUUGCUUCACACAGACAUCACUGAUAGGAUGAGGUUACAAGACUGAGCAGUGAGCACUCGUAAUCUUCACUUCAAACUUGAAAGUUCAAGUACAAGAUGUGAUACUGAUGUUACCACGUUGGAAGACAAUUCCAUUGCCUCUUUUCUUAAGCCUUGAAGAUGACGACUGUUAUAGUGCAUGAUUAGUAAAAAAAAUGUCGUUGCAUAUACAUUGAUAAUUUAUUGAUUAUUUGUGUUUAUUCUUUUUAUUUUGCACAUUGUUAAUAUGUUCUUAUUAAAAGCAUUAUUUUACUGGUUUAA